GAUCAUGGCUCAGGAUGAACGCUGGCGGCGUGCCUAACACAUGCAAGUCGAGCGAAGCACUUUGCUUAGAUUCUUCGGAUGAAGAGGAUUGUGACUGAGCGGCGACGGGUGAGGUAACGCGUGGGUAACCUGCCUCAUACAGGGGGAUAACAGUUAGAAGUGACUGCUAAUACCGCAUAAGACCACAGCACCGCAUGGUGCGGGGGUAAAAACUCCGGUGGU
rnacentral:rRNA from 1 species